UUGUCUUGGAUCUUUGCAUUGCUGAUAAUAUUUGUCAUAAUUGAUAGUUUUACAAAGUUCUGGUUCACUUCAUUUUUCAUCAUUUCAUAUAAGUCUUUCCAGGUUUUUCUGAAAUUGUCCCAUUAUCAUUUCUUAUUGCACAACAACAUUCCAUUACAAUCAUCUAGCACAAUUUGUUUAGCCAUUCCCCAAUUGAUGGUUAUACCCUCAGUUUCCAAUUCUUUGCAUCACAGAAAGAGCUAAUGUAAAAUACUUUUGUUUACAACUCAUCAGAGUCAAUGUUGCUUUCUUUCUCCUUCAUAAAAUGGGAUCAAUCAGUUGCUGUCUUGCUUGUUAUACCUCUGCAAUCUCCUAUGGCUUGCCCCAUUUGCACUAACACAGGCAUCACUCAAGUUUAUUCUCCCUCAAUACCUCCUACCUGGGCUAUUAGAGUAAGCUCAUAACUGAUGUUUUCUGACUUUUCUUUUCAGUCUCUCAUCCUCCAGUGCUUCCUUCAUAUUGUGGCCAAAAUAGUGUUCCUAAUGUCACUUUCCUGAUCAAAAACUUUAGUAGUUGCUCAAAGCCUGCAAGAUAAAAAUACAAAUCUCCGUCUGCUUCAUUCCACCUAAACCUUCUCUUGGUCUUCACCAUAACUUUCACUAUCUCCAUUCCAACAGGUCCUUCCAGGCCACCACCCCUGCUUUAGUUUAAUUUUUCACCACCUUUAUCCUAUAGUUCAACUUUACAUUGUCUUUUCUUUUUUAACCUUAAUUUUCUGUCUUAGUAACAACUCUUCAGACAGAAGGGCAAGGUUGGGGCAAGGGUGAGGCAAACUGGGUGAAGUGACGUUCCAGGGUCAUACCAUGUGGAAGUGUUUCAGACUAGAUUUGAAUUCAGAUCCUCUUGACUCCAGGUCUGAUGCUUUGUCUAUUGUGCUACCCAGCUUCCUCUCUUCAUGGUAUUUUACUCUAUCUCCCUUGCUCCUAAUCCUGCCAAUUAAUGCCCUUUAAAUCUCAGGUCAGGAAUGUCCCUCCCAUUAUCUGCUUUCUUCCCCAGUUGCUGAAGUCUGGAGGUCAUAAUACCGUCAUGCCAACUAGAUCCACUUAGAAUUCCCAUUCUCUUACCUCAUCUUGUCCCUUAUUGAUUUGAGGUAAAGAUGUUUAUUUUUCCUUGACUGGCUCUCCAUCUCAUUCACAUAAGGCUCUGCCUACCUCGGGCUCUGGUGAGGCCACUUCCAAUCUCGGUUUGCUUCUUGUCACUUCAUGCUAGGUGCCCCGAAAGCUCCCGCGGAGAAGUGGAAUUCGGUGGGCAUCAGAGUAACUCACCCGUAUCCAGGUUUAUGGGGGACUUUCCAGUGAGGGCUGGGAACUUGGAGAGCUAGUCCUGGCUUUCCUCCACUAGUUAGCUGUGUGUGCAAGCAAGCCUCGUUUGUUCAGAUAGAAUUAAAAAUGCCGAUUUUGGUCCUCCUGA